rnacentral:pre_miRNA from 1 species
AAUACCUGGGGAUCUUGUUGAAAUGCAGAUUCUGAUUCUGUUGAUCUGGGUUUGGGCCUGAGAUUCUGCAUUUCUCACAAGCUUCCGGGUGAUGCUGC